rnacentral:tRNA from 1 species
CAAGAUGUAGUUUAAUAAAAAAUUCUAGUUUUGGGUACUAGGGAUGUUUCUGAAACCAGCUUGA